GGACUUCCCAGUUCCUCGAAUUCAGGGUGACAGUUUUUUUUCCUGCUCUGUAUUGGUCUAUCCUUCCAAUGUAAAUUCCUACUGACACAAGACCUGCUCUGUACCUGCAUAAUCUAUCGUGGCUACCCUCGAACCUAAAAUAGGAAUGGGAAAACUGAGCCACACAGGUGGCAACCGGGUGUGCACCUCUGGGUGCACGUACUCCGUUCUCCAGCUUCUAUUGCAGAUCACUGCACAGCCACCCCUGCUCCUGGCAGACCUCUACAUAAACUAGAAUCGCAGCACGUACCUGAUACCCAACAAAGACCGGACGAACGUAAUAGAUGUACCUGUAGUGCCUUCGCCAGGGCUCUAACCUGCCCAGAUCUACGCUAAAAUUAUAUACGCCAGCGCCCAGCAGCUAAGGGUGUCUAUUUGCUGCUUAAAAGUUUAGGGAACGUGUGCUACGAGGACGUGAGGAUGUGCCGAAGCUCAUGAAAAAAGCCUGCGACCAGAGCCAAGAGGCCAGAGCGCCACAGCCUGGCGGUUCUUGCUGUUAGUCUCCGAGCCCGCGACGAUGAAGGUCGGCGGGAAGGAGUCCAAAGGGAUGAAGGACAGGGGGCACUUCCUGCAGACGGAGCUGGGCACCGAGGGGGCACUUCCUGUAGUUGGAGCUGGAGACUCACUGGCAACUUCCGGCAAGCGUUGUGCUCCUUAGAAGCCUGGUGACAAUCUCUGGUGCACCGGUGGAGCCAGGUCGUGGUUUUCCUGACCCGCACCUCUCCUGGUAGUUUCGAAGAAACCAAACACGCGCUCAUUUCCGUAAAUCAUUUCAACAACAACAACAACAAAAAAAAAAAAAAAAAAAACCAAAAAACCCUGUAGGAUGUACCUGAGGGAGCGCUCUUGCUUGACAUACUUACUGGGUUCGGUCCCCAGCACCACAAAAGAAAAAUUUUCCUAGACUGUCUUCCAUAAAGACAAAGCUGAGUUGGCCUUUACAGGGUCUUGUGCGGACAGUCAGUUGGGUAAAUACCCAACAAAGCCCUAAGGAUUGAACUCAGGUGUGUUGGCAAGCACUUACUGGCGGAUCUACCACCACAACCUUCCUAGAGAUGUCUUAUAAAUUCUCAGGACAUUUGGGAACGUUUUGUUCAUCGAGAAUAAUAGCUUUUGAAGCACUUACGGAAAUCAAAAUUUUCUGUGGACCACUGUGUACAGAAGCCUGAGAAGGCUAGCAGAUCCCCAGAACUGGAACUGUGAGACGCUGUGCUAUGGAGGUGCUAGGAACUGAAAAUGGAUGGGUCCUCUGCAAGAGCAGAGAACCUCAUCAAGCCAGUUUGCUUUUAUGGUGAUGUCUCUGAUGCUGAAAGAGACCAGACUUCUGCCUGAAGGCUUCAUUGCAUUCACUGCACUUGUAGGGUUUUUCUUCAUUGUGGAUUCUAACAUGCUGAUCUAAGUGUGAAUUUAGGCGGAAAGCUUUCUGACACACAUUACAUUUGAAAGGUUUUUCUCCAGUGUGAAUCCUAUGAUGUCGAAUAAGGUCGGAGGUCAAGCUGAAGGCUUUCCCACACUCAUUACAGUGAUGUCUUUUGGAACGACCAUGGACUCUCUGAUGGUGGGUGAGGAGGAGGGCCCGACUAAAGGUUUUCCCACACUCCUUGCAUUCUCGGGGCUCAUCCUGACUGUGAAUUUUUUGGUGUCGAUUAAGAUGAGAGCUUCGCCUGAAGUUCUUUCCACAAUGGAUACACAGAUAGGGUUUUUCUCCAGUAUGGAUCCUGAGAUGCUCCAAAAGACCUGCAUUCUGGCUAAAGACUUUUCCACACUCUUUGCACUGGUAAGGCUUCUCCCCAAGAUGGAUUUUCUGAUGUCUGAUGAGGUGUGAACUUCUCUGAAAGACUUUCCCACACUCUUGGCAGGGAUGACCUUUGUCUUUAGAGAUUUCCUGAUGGUCAGCAGCAACAGAACUCUGAGAUCCUACAGAUUCCCAGGACAUUUCUCCUGUAUGUGCCCUGUCAUGUUCAAUCAGGCCUGAGUUCUGAACAAGUCUCUCCUUAGUUUCCAAGCAUUGGCUGUUAGUUUUUUCCUUGGGCAUGGCUGGAUUCUUUUUCAAGCUCAGGUCCUCACACUGGGCCUCAAUGGGUUCAGUCAUGGUACAAGAUGAUUCCAUUCUUCCACAAGAGUCUGUCCCUGCAAUGAGAUUCCCAUUCUCACUCCUUGUCUCUUUACCUGAAAUAGUAAAUAUAUAUAUCACUAAUUAUUUUAUUUUUGGUGUUCAGGGAAAGGAAUCUGCAAAUAGCAGGAAAUACUUAAAUAAAGCCAUGUGUAUAAAUGUAAAAACAUGUUAUGUGUGUUUUAUUUGCAUGUAUGCAUGUACACAACAUGCAUGCAGUGCCAAGGAAACCGUAAGAGGCUGUCCAGUUCCCGGAAACUGGAGUUACAGAAUGUUGUGAGCUGCAAUGUAGUUGACAGGAACUGAAACCAGAUCCUCUGUAAAAGUUUUCUUAAGAGAUGAGAUCGCUUCAAUCCUCACAAAGUAAAAAAACAACAACAAAAUUUUGCUCAUGAUUAUUUUAUAUAUAUAUAAAGAGUGAUUUACAAGAAACUGUGGUUUUGUUUGUUUUUUUUGAGGUAAGUUUUCACUAUGCAGAAUAACAUGGCCUAACCUAAUCCUCUCCUCUCAGGUCCCACAGUUACAGCACCACCACGUCCAGCCUGACAUCUGGGAAAGUGUUAACCAGAUUGGCUUUGGGGAAGGGCAGGGGUUGUGGUGGGAGGUGAUUUAUUUUAAAUGUUCUAUAUUUUAUUAUGUGACAUAUGUUACACACACAGAAGCUACUAAGCAUGACUGCAUAUUCUUGAUCAUGAUUUGUCACCUGGGAAACAAAAAAGCACCAUAAAUCAGGUCACCCGAGGACCAUCAAGUUAAGCAGGGAAGGUACUUUGACAAAUGAAGAUGAGUUGACAUGGUGCCAAUUUUAUCACUGAGUAGUAUGUAAUCUUGGAAAAAGUGUUUACGUUCUUAACAAUAAAUCAACAGUACCGGGAGCAUAAGACCUUGAGAAUAAUGCAUUCACAAAAACAUCAUGUUGAAAUAUGAUUUGUUCCCCUCAGAGGGGAUCUAUAGCAGAUUCAGGGCACAAAACAAAACUUGGCUCUUUAACUAUGGAAAGAGAGAAAGAAGCCAGAAACUGGAAGCUAACUUCCCGUGAGCGAGCAGGCGAGGACAC